rnacentral:rRNA from 1 species
GACGUAGGUGGCGAACGUUAUCCGGAAUUAUUGGGCGUAAAGGGUGCGUAGAUGGCAUGAUAAGUUAUUGGUGGAAAAUCGAGGCUCAACCUCGUGGAAGUCAGUAAUACUGUUUUGCUUGAGUGCAGGAGAGGUUAACGGAACUUUCUGUGGAGGGGUGAAAUCCGAAGAUAUAGAUGGGAACACCGAAAAGGCGAAGGCAGUUAACUAUUCUGCUACUGACAUUGAGGCACGAAAGCGUGGGGAGCAAAAAGG